UAGUAUAGCAAUCUAUACAGUGAAACUGCGAAUGGCUCAUUAAAUCAGUUAUCGUUUAUUUGAUAGUACCUUACUACUUGGAUAACCGUGGUAAUUCUAGAGCUAAUACAUGCUAAAAACCUCGACUUCGGAAGGGGUGUAUUUAUUAGAUAAAAAACCAAUGCCCUUCGGGGCUCCUUGGUGAUUCAUAAUAACUUAACGAAUCGCAUGGCCUUGUGCCGGCGAUGGUUCAUUCAAAUUUCUGCCCUAUCAACUUUCGAUGGUAGGAUAGUGGCCUACCAUGGUUUCAACGGGUAACGGGGAAUUAGGGUUCUAUUCCGGAGAGGGAGCCUGAGAAACGGCUACCACAUCCAAGGAAGGCAGCAGGCGCGCAAAUUACCCAAUCCCGACACGGGGAGGUAGUGACAAUAAAUACUGAUACAGGGCUCUUUUGGGUCUUGUAAUUGGAAUGAGUACAAUUUAAAUCCCUUAACGAGGAACAAUUGGAGGGCAAGUCUGGUGCCAGCAGCCGCGGUAAUUCCAGCUCCAAUAGCGUAUAUUAAAGUUGUUGCAGUUAAAAAGCUCGUAGUUGAACCUUGGGCCUGGUUGGUCGGUCCGCCUCACCGCGUGCACUGAUCCGACCGGGCCUUUCCUUCUGGGGAGCCGCAUGCCCUUCACUGGGUGUGUCGGGGAACCAGGACUUUUACUUUGAAAAAAUUAGAGUGUUCAAAGCAGGCCUAUGCUCGAAUACAUUAGCAUGGAAUAAUAGAAUAGGACGUGUGGUUCUAUUUUGUUGGUUUCUAGGACCGCCGUAAUGAUUAAUAGGGAUAGUCGGGGGCAUCAGUAUUCCGUUGUCAGAGGUGAAAUUCUUGGAUUUACGGAAGACUAACUACUGCGAAAGCAUUUGCCAAGGAUGUUUUCAUUAAUCAGUGAACGAAAGUUAGGGGAUCGAAGACGAUCAGAUACCGUCGUAGUCUUAACCAUAAACUAUGCCGACUAGGGAUCGGGCGAUGUUAUCUUUUUGACUCGCUCGGCACCUUACGAGAAAUCAAAGUUUUUGGGU
rnacentral:rRNA from 1 species